GAUGAAGAACGUAGCGAAAUGCGAUAAGUAAUGUGAAUUGCAGAAUUCAGUGAAUCAUCGAAUCUUUGAACGCACAUUGCGCCCCCUGGUAUUCCGGGGGGCAUGCCUGUCCGAGCGUCAUUACAACCCUCAAGCUCAGCUUGGUAUUGGGUCCCGCCGACCCGGCGGGCCCUAAAGUCAGUGGCGGUGCCGUCCGGCUCCGAGCGUAGUAAUUCUUCUCGCUCUGGAGGUCCGGUCGUGUGCUCGCCAGCAACCCCCAAUUUUUUUCAGGUUGACCUCGGAUCAGGUAGGGAUACCCGCUGAACUUAAGCAUAUCAAUAAGCGGAGGA
rnacentral:misc_RNA from 1 species